CUUGGGGGGGUGAGGAUUUUGUACUGCUACUCAUCUGGUGAAAAGCUGCUUUUUAACUCCAUUGAUUCUUACACCGAUUCUGAGAAAAAUGACAACGGGCUGUUCCUUUGGACUAAAUCCUUGUGGGUUCUUUAUAAUGAGCCGACGGAGGAUAUCAUGCAAAGAGCUGGGGCAAGCCGAUUGCCAAGGAUGGCUCUACAAAAAGAAGGAAAAAGGAGCGUUCAUUGGCAACAAAUGGAAAAAGUUCUGGUGUGUGCUAAAGGAGUCAUCGCUGUAUUGGUACAGCAGUCAGCUGGCUGAAAAAGCAGAAGGAUUCAUAAGACUUCCAGACUUCAGUGUGGAUCGAGCAAUUGAAUGCAAAAAAAAGCAUGCUAUUAAGAUCAGCCACCCACAGAUCAAGACAUUUUAUUUUGCGGCAGAAAAUGUUCUGGAAAUGAACACGUGGCUAAGUAAGCUGGGAAUGGCUGUAGACCCUCAGGCACCAAACAGGAAGAACGAAGAAGAAUGCUACAGUGAAAGUGAACAUGAUGAUCCAGACAUCACAGACACGCCACCUCCUCCCUACACAGUCCAGACCCCACCACCUCCUUCGCAGGAUCAGCAGAAGUCAUCAUUCACCUCAACUCUGUCAAGUGAAGCAUCUUGUUCUCUCUCCUCUCCUGAAAGCACUUUCAAUUCCCAAGAAUCAUCGUCUUCCUUGACAUCCAAAGUGGUUUGUUCCGAGAGGCAGUCCUGGCUUGACCUGGUUAACAGCUCUGCCACGGAAGAGGGUGAUCAGCCUUUAACGUUCUGCGUACAGAUUCAUUCCGACGAGGCACCAGAAGCGGUCUGUGCAGAUGCAGCAGAAAGCCAGGAAGUCCGGCUUUCUGAACCCAAUGGUGGAUCCCAAACCUCUUACUUAAGUGCAGAUACACAUUGUCUAGCUGUGUCAGAUGCAACAGGACAGCGAUCACUAGCCAGAGACCAGGAAAAGUGUGAUGAUGAUGAUGAGAUGGAGCGACUUUACAAGUCAUUGGAGCAAGCAAGCCUGUCUCCCAUUGGUGAUCGUCGGCUGUCAACUAAGAAGGAGCUUAGGAAGUCAUUUAUCAAGCGCAGCAAAAACCCCUCCAUUAAUGAGAAACUCCACAAAAUUCGAAUGCUAAACAGUACAUUAAAGUGUAAGGAGCAUGACCUGGCCACAAUCAACCAGUUGCUAGAGGACCCAAAGUUGACAGCGGUGAAGUACAGAGAGUGGAGGAGCACAAACAUCAUGCUGGUCCAAGAUAUUUAUCAGCAGCAGGAGGUCCAGGACAUGUCCACAGAGAAUAGUGAAGAGCAAGAAAUGACUCCACGGCCAGUCACUGAAAGUGCUAUUUGAUCAAUGGCACAUGGCAAGAUUUUUCUCCACUGGUCUUCACAUACAUACAAUUUAAACUGCUGUAUCUUGAGGAUUGUUUUUUGUGAGUGUGCUUCAAAAGGAAAACAACCCAUUCUCCAAAGUUUUAAAUGCUUCUGCAGAAGUCAUUUAAUGUCAAAUGGGCAAUUUCCCCAAACUUGCCCAAGUUGCCCAAAAAAGCACGCCUGAAUGUGGCCUGCAUACAUAAGAUUAUUUAACAAAGCAGCAAAGAAACGUUUUUCAGUUUUUGGAGAAGAAAAUUAUAAGUGUCCAGCUUCUGGAGGACACAGAACUAUGUAAUAUGUACUGUAUAAAUAUGAGAUCCUUGGGAUUGUUUUAACCAUACAACUUACCAUGAAAUGAAGCUAACAUGAUCCCAACAGGAGGUAGUCUACUCUACCUUUUUACCCUUAAGGUAACUCAAUGUAUACAUUUUCAUCUCUGUACCCAUUUACUUUCACCACUCAACCAGUUUAAACAGAGACAAAUGGAAGAGUAAUUAUGAAUGAGUUGAUACUGUAGACAGCUGCCAGGCACCCAGUUUGGGCUCUGCCUGAUGUUUUAUGAGUUUCAAAUUUAUUUAUGGUCCAGACCAAGAAGGUACUGUCUUUCUACAUGAAGAAGAGAUCUCUAAGGUUUUGCUAACAUGUAAUUUACUCUUCAGUGAGACAAGAUUCAACUUUUCUUAUGGACUUGGCAGAAUUCCUCGGAAGAUUAUGUUCUUCUUUCUUAUUUUUGACAAUUGGGAGUAUAUAAGGUACAAGUUCAUCCCAGAGUCCAGCUUAAGGAAGGUGAUCAUAUUCACAAGCCAGAAGCUAAAUGACUCAACUCCUAAUGUGGACCUGGAAGUGUAAAACAGAGCUGCAAAUAUUUUUGAAAACAAAUGUAUGGGUUUAUGCAAGUACUGUGCAGGAAGUCUAACUCCACUCUCUUCAGCUACUACUUGGACUCAAAAUAAUGGAAAGCGUGGAAAAUGCAAAAUGAAAAUUGCAGAGGAACAGGAUUAAUUUUCUGGCAUUGCUAAUUACUGUGACAUUUUUUGCCUGGGUUUAUCACAAGGGGCUGCCCAGCAGCAUGAAAGCCAUAAUCAGAGACAGAAUUACGCACAAGCUGACAGCUACAGUGGGGAGCCACCUCAACAGGAGAAAUUUGGACAAGUCUGUGCUCUGCUCAGUGAUGCUUGGAGUAACUGGUAUUUCUCGGCCUGAAUUUGGAAGACCUGCACUAUUGACUCAUAGCACAGGGAGCUGUGCAUCCCUAGUGUGUGAAUGUCAAGAAGUCUUCAGCCAUCUGCCUCAAGGGACAUGUUUUAUAUACAUUUUUGGGAGAAAGUAUGUGUGUGUGGAUAUGUGCACAUGCACAAUUUUCCUUCUGUCAGUAAAGCCAGCUGGUGCAGAAAGUCCAGCAAUGGAGAUUUUGGAAUUCCUGGUAACAAUAUCUAAUUUCAACUGUUUCUGCAGCUUUUCUGGAAAUCGAAUCUCUGUUCUGGCAGUGUACAUCUCAUGAGAUACCAGAAUGAGGUGGGAUCACAUUUCCUUUCCUAUGAUGGAAGAGAUUUCAUGUGGGGAUUGUGAAUAUUUUACAUCUAGCUCUGAUGAUUCAAUCAAUACUAGGGUUUCACCUUGUCAUGGUUUUAAGUGCAGAUGGAGAUGAAACACCAUGCAGUUGCUUGCUCAGCCCCCCUCUCUUUUCCUUCCCCAUCCCUGUGUAAUGGGGAGUAGAAUUGAAGUAAAAAUUGUAGGCAGAGACAAGAAAGGUUUUAUAAUUUAAAAUAAAGUAAAAUAUAACAAUAAUGGUAAAUAAUGAUAAUGAUAAGGAAAGAAGCCCAAGCAAGUGAUAUACAAUGCAAUUGCUCAUCACCCACUGCCAGACCCCUCUUCCCAAACUCAGAUCAGGCCCCCCUCACAGGUAGCUCCCCCCAGUUUAUUUACUCGGUAUGGCAUUUAAAACUCCGUGGAAAUUCAGAAUUUAAAAUUAUUUCUAACUUCGAAAAAUUAUGGGUGUGUUACAUCUAUUGUGUGAGCCUGUAAGCUUACAUGUCUCUUACAGAUUUAAUAUGAAAAACGUGCAUUUUUAAACUUUUCAAGUAGCAAAGGAGCCCAUGAAAGCAUACUUUUAUGAGGGGAACUCCGUGUGCUGUGAUUGGCUUUUGGGCUUUGGCCCUUUUUUUCACUCUUUUGCUUGUUUAGUCAUACAAAAGUAGCCAAUUGUAACCAACUGUACCCAAGUGAGGGCCUGAGUUUACUUCACUUAUAUGAGACAUGCCUUUCUGCUAACAGGAAGCCAAAGUGGUUUUCUUGUAGUAGUACAGCCCAAGUGGAAUUUCCUGUUUUGUGCGAGGUGUUCAAAGCAGCAGACAUUUUAAGAUGUCAGUGAGCAUUUCCUUGAUGCUUGAAGAUUCGUCCCAUUUUGGUUUGCUUCAAGCUGCAACAUUAUUGCAUUUUUUAAAAACUGCCUUCAAUCUGAACUGAAAGAAAAUUUGAGGUGGAAAAAGGAAAAUAGAACAGAAAAAAGCUUGGAGCUAAGAUCAUGCUGAAAUUCACAUCUCUGCAUAGGGUAGUAGGAGCUGAGCUUGCCAAAAUCUAAGCAUUUCAACAUUGAAAAAAAUUGUAAGGUGUUGAAAAGAGUACUACAUUCCUUGAAAUUUGCUAUGGGAGAAGUUCCAAGACCUGUCUGGUCUGGAAAAAUGAAUAUUUUCCUAAUUUAUUUCCUCCUGAUAAAAAUCCAGAGGGGGUGGUUUAUAAGAUGGCAGCAAGUUAAAGAUGAAAGAUGCAUGUAAUUCAUUGAUAGCUCAACAACCUUGAUGUAUGAUCUGGAAAUGGUUGACUUUAGAUGACUCAGCUUGUAACACUCAGCCUGUAAAAUCCAUUUCUUUGGGAAAGCAUUGUAGCUACCAGUGUCUGGAGCUUAUGUACCCUAUCUGGUCCACAUGAGAUUAAUUUUGAAGAUGUAGGUGAAUGGCCUUUCUAUAGGGCAAAUAGUUUGUAUCAUCAUGCCAUAGCUUAGGAACCACUCCCUGUGUCCUAGAUGCCUUAACAGCUGCCCAGAUUAUUCUGACUCUUGAAGCUGCUUAUGGCAGUUUUAUCUUCUCCCAACUAAAAAUGAAAAGAGGAUAUGAAAGCACAUCUCCCACUCCCACAUGAAGAAAAACUAGCACUAGUCUGGCAGAAAUUAAUGUAAGUCACCUUAUUUAUGAAUGUUUACCAAAAUAACUCACCUGGUGAAAAGCCAUUUGUGCACACAAAUAGCAGUGCUCUUGUGCCAAGCUUUCAGUGCUGAAGACUGGCCCAAAGGAAGAACGGAUGUAUCUAUCCCACUGUGCUCUGUAUAGAGAGGAAAUUUCAUGUACAGAAGAAGAUUUACAAGGACUUCUCUCAGGCAUUGGCAGGGCCUGCAGCACCACAAAAGUACAUGGGAUUCAAAUUCAGUAUUUUAUCUGCUCAGUCUUUUUUCUUUUUUUUUUUUUUUUCACUAGUUUAAAACUCACAGCACAAUGUUGCACUCAGCACUGCCUUUUUACUGCUUGUUGCCUACACGUGUGAAUUGAUUUUCAUGGAAUGAUACACACAUCUUGCAGAAUGAGAGCCUUAUGUUUGCACUUGUCAAUUAAACACUGAAAUGAGAGAA